UUGUUUUAAAAGAGCAGCGAUUAAAGAGGUUCGAGUAGAAAAAUUAGGGUUUGCAAACAAAUUAGGGAAAACGAAGAAUUUGGCUGUGACACUCGUAUAGAAUGCCAUAGAAGGCAUCAUCGGACAAAAACCACCGGAGAAAAAGCCGGAAACAAGGCCCAGGAAAAGCUUCAGUGACCUUCUUUCAUGGCGGAAACUUCUGGGCUUCAAGCUUUUGAAAGAAAACAACGAUAUAAGGAUUCCAUGGCUACAAGAGGUCGAGAGAAGUGAGGGAGGAGUAUGGCCGAUAUAAGGAUUCCAUGGCUACAAGAGGUCGAGAGAAGUGAGGGAGGAGUAUGGCUGGAGAGGCAAUGGACUUCAGUGGAAAAGAAUGAACUAGAAGGUUCUAGAGAGAAGGGGGAGCAUUCG
rnacentral:lncRNA from 1 species